rnacentral:rRNA from 1 species
AGCGCUAAUUCGUCACGCAAGUGACGAUCGUAGCGCUGAACGUACGUCACAGGUGGAAUGGAAUCCGGUCCUAGACUUCCUACCGUAGCAGCAUUGGGUAACUAUUGCUCAUUGGUGAAUGCUUGAUGCAAGCGACGCAGCGUGAGGGAAUGACUGCUUCGGUUGUAAAUCUACUUUCAGUAGGCAGAAGCGAAAGUGACGCUACCUGCAGACGAGCAUCGCCUACCUACGUGGGCAGCAGCCUGCUGUAUACGUAGGGUGGCGAGCGUUAUCCCGGAAUUUAUUGGGCGUAAAGAGCUCGUAAGACGUUUUGUCGCGUCUGUCGUGAAAGUCGCGGGGCUCAACCCCGGAUCUGCGGUGUGUACGGGCAGACUAGAGUGCAGUAGGGGAGACUGUAAUUUCGUGGUGUAGCGGCGGGAAUGCGCAGAUAUCAGGACGCAACACCUGAUGGCGAAGGCAGGUCUCUGGGCUGUAACUGACGCUGAGGAGCGAAAGCAUGGGGAGCGAACAGGAUUAGAUACCAUGGUAGUCCAUGCCGUAAACGUUGGGCACUAGGUGUGGGGACCAUUCCACGGUUUCCGCGCCGCAGCUAACGCAUUAAGUGCCCCGCCUGGGGAGUACGGCCGCAAGGCUAAAACUCAAAGGAAUUGACGGGGGCCCGCACAAGCGGCGGAGCAUGCGGAUUAAUUCGAUGCAACGCGAAGAACCUUACCAAGGCUUGACAUGUUCUCGAUCGCCGUAGAGAUACGGUUUCCCCUUUGGGGCGGGAUCACAGGUGGUGCAUGGUUGUCGUCAGCUCGUGUCGUGAGAUGUUGGGUUAAGUCCCGCAACGAGCGCAACCCUCGUUCCAUGUUGCCAGCACGUAAUGGUGGGGACUCAUGGGAGACUGCCGGGGUCAACUCGGAGGAAGGUGGGGACGACGUCAAAUCAUCAUGCCCCUUAUGUCUUGGGCUUCACGCAUGCUACAAUGGCCGGUACAAUGGGUUGCGAUACUGUGAGGUGGAGCUAAUCCCAAAAAGCCGGUCUCAGUUCGGAUUGGGGUCUGCAACUCGACCCCAUGAAGUCGGAGUCGCUAGUAAUCGCAGAUCAGCAACGCUGCGGUGAAUACGUUCCCGGGCCUUGUACACACCGCCCGUCAAGUCACGAAAGUCGGUAACACCCGAAGCCGGUGGCCUAACCCUUGUGGGGGAGCCGUCGAAGAUGAGUUGAGCCCUC